rnacentral:rRNA from 1 species
UACGUAGGGUGCAAGCGUUGUCCGGAAUUAUUGGGCGUAAAGAGCGUGUAGGCGGCCCGAUUAGUCCGCUGUGAAAUCCCAGGGCUCAACCCUGGGCGUGCAGUGGAUACGGGCAGGCUGGAGGCAGGCAGGGGAGAACGGAAUUCCCGGUGUAGCGGUGAAAUGCGCAGAUAUCUGGAGGAACACCGGUGGCGAAGGCGGCAUCCUGGACCACGACUGACGCUGAAUAGCGAAAGCCAGGGGAGCAAACGGG